AACAAUUUUUUUCCACGCCCACUCUAACGCCAAAAACUGUCAGUGUUAAAGUCAAGUUGUGAAGUAGUAAAAUAAGCCGUCGAGGGAUCAAGUCCGAGCAUAGAAGUUGGUGUGUCGGAGGGUCAAUCGUCAUCAAGUAGAUAAGUCUAUAGCUACUACUACAAUUCUAACUCUUUUAAUAAACAGGCGUUUAUGCCUUACAUAUACUUAUAACUUGACUGGCAAUAUCUUGUCGAAGGCUCAUUCUGGGCGUCCACCUUUGCUAUCCAACCGUAAACAGAAGACAAUUAUUAAUUCUAUUCGACUAAGUCCCAGGACGACAGCUCAUCAUUCAAAUAUUCAGAUCGAGAAUAGUUUUUCCAAAAGAUACCGUACGCCGUGUCAUAAAAAAGAUAACCUUUCAUAGCAGAAUUGCCCCAAAAUACCUCAGAUUUCAGAAGUAAAUUGGCUGAAAAAACACACAACAUUAAAAAAUGCUGAAGGAUGUUAUUUAAGAGGAAUUGGGCAACAUAGCUGCGGAGGAUACAAAAAAUCGUAUUUAUACGAUGCCGAAACGCCUUACGGAGGUUUUGCAGAGAAAAGGAUACCCUACUAGCUAUUAAAAUCAAUCUACUUGUAGGUUACAUUAAAUUUAUUUAAAAAAAAAUACGUAAGCAAAGGCAGUAAAUUAAAGUUAAGUAAAAAAAAAUGGGCCUAUUAUAUGCAUAACAGACCAAACCAUUGGUGUUUAAAGUUUCAUUUUUAAAUGCAUAUGUAUGUAUGUAUCUGUAACAUCUGACUUUAUGUCACCUAUUUAAAAAAACCGGUCUAGAGUGUCAAUGAUUUUUCGACAAUUAUAGGUUUAAUUUUUAUUAUACGUGAUAUAUGUACAGUGCCUCUCAACUAAAUAGGUUUGACUUUUUUCAAAUCAUGAUUUUUUUCUCCAUAAAGGGAAUUCCGAUUUAAAUAAAUAUUGUUGUAUAAAGAAUACUGUUAUUUUUGAAAUAGCAAAGUUUUGGUUCUGUUAGUUUUGUUUUUAUUAUUAUUCAAAAACGUAAAACAAAAUGUCCUUUGUAUUUGGCUCAACUGAAUAGGUUUUACACUUUUGACUUCUCUUACUGUUUAACCGUGGAUUGAAAAGAGUUGAAUUCUUUUGUAUUCUAUAAUUUAAGGCAUUUAUUCGGGCAAGCUCCGGUAAUCGAAUUCGUAAGAAUUUUACGAUUUGUAAAACGGGCACUUCUGCCUGGUUAUCCCAAAGGUGCCAUACUGUUGGUGCAACGAAACAGGCACGUAAAAAUACUUAUACUUAUAAUUUAAAUACUUACAUAAAUGCUUAAAGUGCAGUAAAAAAGUAAUUGCAAACACCGGAAUUAAAACUGUGAAAAAGGUGGCAGCUCUAGAUUUUCUUAAGCCCUCCAAUUUCUGCCUUCUCCUGGCUUCAAAACAAACAAUUGGAAACAAAAAAGGCAUUUUUUCACGUUGCAACGUGUGGUUUAAUUUUGACAAACAAAAAAAGUCAGCUGUUUUAGCAGCAAGAAGCGAUAAGAAACGAAAAAUUUCGAUAGCAAAAAUUUCACGAAAGCCAGAGAACGAACCGAUUUUGCCCAAAUCGAAAAAAAAAAACGAAUUUGGAGCAUGCCUGAUAAACUUUAACCGAUUUUAAAAGAGUUCUGUCCAACAUCCGAAAGCUUACGCUUCGACAAUAAAACAUUGUUUCGGCUAUGGCCGCCAGCGAUUAGGGAGAAAAGUAGCUCCCCAACAUAACCAUCCUAAGAAGACUUGACUAUAACCAAGUUGCUUUUGCACUGCAAGGAAUCACGGACAACCGCUAACGCCGCUGGAUCACACCGCUAUCGGAAUAUAAGAAGGAAGCAGUUUAUCGCGGGAACUUCACCUGUACUUAAUUUGUACUCCAAAGGGUUUUCCACCGAUUUCUAAGAUGUAUGGUCAUAUUCCAUGGCCACCCUACUCCCCUAACAACAAUAUUAACGAAAACAUUUGGGGACACUUGUCAAGGAGACAAGUGUAAUUUGAAAAAAUUAAUAACCAUGGCAGGUAUACGAGAUAUUAAAAAACACCAAAACAGUCAUUUAUUAUAGAAAA